AUUCCAAUACUAAAUUUUUCUAUGCUUCAAUUGCUACUCGAAGGGCUGUUAACUGUAUCAGCAAAUGCAGAGACAAAGACGAUAAUCUUAUUGAGAAUUUAGAUGAGGUUAAAGCACACACAGAGCAAUUUUUUUAUUCCUUACUCAAUCAAGCUGGGAAACAUAAUAACAUUCAUGUGGAGCCGACUAGAAAACUUGAUUCAGAAGCUAUUUCAAUCCUCAAUGCCC
rnacentral:lncRNA from 1 species